rnacentral:ribozyme from 1 species
UUGCUUGAGCCCUCGUUUUCAACUUUUUUUUUUUUUUUUUUUUUUUUUUUCCGGGGGAAUUUUUUUCAAAAA